GCCCGCAUGGCUCAGUGGUAGAGCGUAUCACUAGUAGCCCAAAAGCAUAUGAUAAGGUCAUCAGUUCGAUUCUGAUUGUGGGCA
rfam:Paraphaeosphaeria sporulosa strain AP3s5-JAC2a unplaced genomic scaffold CC84scaffold_1, whole genome shotgun sequence.